rnacentral:rRNA from 1 species
UACGUAGGGCGCAAGCGUUAUCCGGAAUUAUUGGGCGUAAAGAGCUCGUAGGCGGUCUGUCGCGUCUGCCGUGAAAGUCCGGGGCUCAACUCCGGAUCUGCGGUGGGUACGGGCAGACUAGAGUGAUGUAGGGGAGACUGGAAUUCCUGGUGUAGCGGUGAAAUGCGCAGAUAUCAGGAGGAACACCGAUGGCGAAGGCAGGGUCUCUGGGCAUUAACUGACGCUGAGGAGCGAAAGCUGGGGAGCGAACAGG